rnacentral:rRNA from 1 species
GGUACUUGAGGAAUAGAGACGGCUAAUUCCGUGCCAGCAGCCGCGGUAAUACGGGAGUGGCAAGCGUUAUCCGGAAUUAUUGGGCGUAAAGCGUCCGCAGGCGGCUUUGUAAGUCUGCUGUCAAAGCGUGGAGCUCAACUCCAUUUCGGCAGUGGAAACUACGAGGCUUGAGUGUGGUAGGGGCAGAGGGAAUUCCCGGUGUAGCGGUGAAAUGCGUAGAUAUCGGGAAGAACACCAGUGGCGAAGGCGCUCUGCUGGGCCAUAACUGACGCUCAUGGACGAAAGCCAGGGGAGCGAAAGGGAUUAGAUACCCCUGUAGUCCUGGCCGUAAACGAUGAACACUAGGUGUCGGGGGAAUCGACCCCCUCGGUGUCGUAGCCAACGCGUUAAGUGUUCCGCCUGGGGAGUACGCACGCAAGUGUGAAACUC